rnacentral:rRNA from 1 species
AUUGAACGCUGGCGGCAGGCUUAACACAUGCAAGUCGAACGAGUGGCGGACGGGUGAGUAAUGUAUCGGAACUUGGCUAAUGGCGGGGGAUAACUACGGGAAACUGUGGCUAAUACCGCGUACCAUAGGAGCAGCCCAUGUGGGAUUAGGUAGUUGGUGGGGUAAAGGCUCACCAGGCCAACGAUCCUUAGCUGGUCGGAGAGGAUGACCAGCCACACUGGGACUGAGACACGGCCCAGACUCCUACGGGAGGCAGCAGUGGGGAAUAUUGGGCAAUGGGGGCAACCUGACGCAGCCAUGCCGCGUGUAUGAUGAAGGCCUUCGGGUUGUAAAGUUCUUUCGGUAGAGAGGCGUUAACUACAGAAGAAGCACCGGCUAACUCCGUGCCAGCAGCCGCGGUAAUAC